CAGCAAUGAUGAUUCACUUCUAUGUCCGUGUUUCUGAAACUUGUGAUUUUAAUGGAAGGUCUGAGCCA
ensembl:snoRNA SNORD18 Small nucleolar RNA SNORD18